ncrna:unclassified sequences Glutamine riboswitch
AUCGUUCAACUCUUUUAGAGUCGGAAGUAGGCAUUGUGCCGAAGGAACGCAUG